AAUCGAACGUGGAGAUAGCUGGUUCUCCCCGAAAUAGCUUUAGGGCUAGCCUCAGGGAAAAGAUUGCAGGCGGUAGAGCACUGAUCAGGAGAGGGACCUACCCGGUUACCAAACCCAGUCAAACUCCGAAUGGCUGCAAUCAUACCUGGGAGUCAGACUGCGACUAAUAAGGGCCGUAGUCAAAAGGGAAACAGCCCAGACCAUCAGCUAAGGUCCCCAAUGCCGUGCUAAGUGGCGAAGGAUGUGGCAUUUCAUAAACAACCAGGAUGUUGGCUCAGAAGCAGCCACCAUUUAAAGAGUGCGUAAUAGCUCACUGGUCGAGAGACGCUGCGCCGAAAAUGUCCGGGGCUCAAGCACGGAACCGAAGCUAUGGCAUGAUAGCAAUAUCAUGGGUAGGGGAGCGUUCUUAUAAGGAAGAAGCAUGACCGGAAGGACAUGUGGACGAAUAAGAAGUGAGAAUGCCGGUAUGAGUAUCGAAAAGAAAGGUGAGAAUCCUUUCCACCGAAAGCCCGAGGGUUCCUGAGCAACGAUCGUCGACUCAGGGUAAGUCGGGACCUAAGCCGAGGCGAGAAGCGUAGGCGAUGGACAACAGGUUGAAAUUCCUGUACCGGAUCAAGUCGAUCGAGCGAAGGAGCGACGCAGGAGGGCACAUGAUCGCGCGGCUGGAAGAGCGCGUCCAAGUGCGUAUGUUGCAGCAGAGGAAAACCCCUGCAGCUAAAAGCAGAGACAUGAUGGGGAGUUAAAGGAAACUUUGACGAACUCAUGGAUCCCACACUGCCAAGAAAAACUUCUAGCGAGACAAGAUCCGCCCGUACCGUAAACCGACACAGGUAGGCGGGGAGAGAAUCCUAAGGUGCGCGGGAAAACCCUCGUUAAGGAACUCGGCAAAUUGCAUCCGUAACCUAGGGAGAAGGAUGGCCCCCGGUCAGUGAAGAGCAGAAACGCUCAGAGCUAAAAGGGGCGGCAGAAAAGAGGCCCAAGCAACUGUUUACCAAAAACACAGGUGCCUGCGAAAGCGAAAGCUGAAGUAUAGGUGCUGACGCCUGCCCGGUGCCGGAAGGUUAAGGAGAGAAGUUAGCGAAAGCGAAGCAUCGAACUGAAGCCCCGGUGAACGGCGGCCGUAACUAUAACGGUCCUAAGGUAGCGAAAUUCCUUGUCGGGUAAGUUCCGACCCGCAUGAAAGGCGUAAUGAUUUGGGCACUGUCUCAACGAGGGGCCCGGUGAAAUUGAAAUACCUGUGAAGAUGCAGGUUACCCGCGACUGGACAGAAAGACCCCAUGGAGCUUCACUGCAGCUUGAGAUUGAAUCCCGGUGACAGAUGCACAGGAUAGGUGGGAGGCGCCGAAGCAUUGCCCUAGGGCGGUGCGGAGCCGAUGUUGGGAUACCACCCUUCUGUUGCUGAGAUUCUAACGCGAGGAGUAACGACCCUGCGGACCCUCUCAGGCAGGCGGUUUGACUGGGGCGGUCGCCUCCGAAAGAGUAACGGAGGCGCCCAAAGGUUCCCUCAGGCCGGACAGAAACCGGCCGAAGAGUGCAAAGGCAGAAGGGAGCUUGACUGCGAGACCAACAAGUCGAGCAGGGACGAAAGUCGGGCUUAGUGAUCCGGUGGUACUGGGUGGAAAGGCCAUCGCUCAACGGAUAAAAGCUACCCUGGGGAUAACAGGCUAAUCUCUCCCAAGAGUCCAUAUCGACGGGGAGGUUUGGCACCUCGAUGUCGGCUCAUCACAUCCUGGGGCUGAAGUAGGUCCCAAGGGUUGGGCUGUUCGCCCAUUAAAGUGGUACGCGAGCUGGGUUCAAAACGUCGUGAGACAGUUUGGUUCAUAUCCAUCGCGGGCGCAAGAAGUUUGAGAGGAGCUGCUCCUAGUACGAGAGGACCGGAGUGGACGGAUCAACGGUGUCCCAGUUGUCACGCCAGUGGCACGGCUGGAAAGCCGCAUCCGGGAAGGAUAAACGCUGAAAGCAUCUAAGCGUGAAGCCAACCUCAAGAUGAGACUUCU
rnacentral:rRNA from 1 species